AAUAGACUUACAUUUGCAUCCAUAGUAACAGCAGCCGUUAAAACAUAAUAUACAGUAGUGCCCAUUUCUCCAAGGUCAGCAGCAGUAAAACAAACACAUUUUCCCCAGCGGUAGAUGCUGAACCUCUGUAACACCAACCCAGGUAAACAGACACUGGAGUUUAUUCCAUGCCAAGACCUGAAGACAGAAGGUGAUCCUGCAGGCAACGAUCAACUACCGUGUUGUGGGUCAGUGAGCUAUUAGGAGAGGUGCUCCAGCCCGCUGAUUAUCCAUGUGACCUCCUCUGGACCCACUCCAGCAGCUCUGCAUCCGUCUUGUGCUGGGGACCCCAAGCCUGGAUGCAGGACUCAAGAUGGGGCCUCACAAGGGCAGAACAGAAGGGGACAAUCCCUUCCCUCACUCUGCUGGCCACCCCUCUUUUGAUGGAGCCCAGGAUACUGCUGGCCUUCUGGGCUGCAAACACACACUGCUGGUUUGUAUCAAGUCUUUGAUAGUUUAAAAAAAUCUAGUUAAACGGGUGAGCUCCAUACAACAGCGUGUAUUUUAGUUGUUGUGGCAUGUAAUCAAUUCAUUAAUGCCAGUGACAGUGAAUUCUUGAUGGUAAAGACUUUGAAAUUGUUAACUUUUAACUCCCAUGACAGAUCAUUAAAACCUGAAAACAAGAGGUGAGAGACACGAAAGAGUUUAUAUUCGAUAUCCUGAAGGCAUGAAACCCCUAAAAGAAAGUCUACACAAAUUCUUUCCUGUUCAGUUUAUCAAGAAGGGUCAUGUUGAAAACAAGAAACCAAACAGAGAUCCCCUCAGUGCCAGGAAAGGUGAUGAAGCAGAUCAUCAUGACUGCCAUCACAUAGCAUGUAAAGGACAACUUGGGUCCCAGCAAUCCCAUGCAGUUGUACAGACUUGGGGAAGAGUGGCUGGAAGGUUGCCCAGCAGAGUGGGAGCUGGGGGUACUACUGGUCAAUAGCCAGUGGAACAUAUGUCAACAGUGUACACUGGUAGCCAAGAAGGCCAAUGGUCUCCUGGUCUGCAUCAGAAAUAGUAUGGCC
ensembl:lncRNA